rnacentral:tRNA from 1 species
GCCGGGAUGGCGGAACUGGCAGACGCAGGGGACUUAAAAUCCUCCGGGUUCGCCCCCGUGCCGGUUCGAGUCCGGCUCCCGGCACCA